AGGCUUAACACAUGCAAGUCGAGCGGGCGUAGCAAUACGUCAGCGGCAGACGGGUGAGUAACGCGUGGGAACGUACCUUUUGGUUCGGAACAACCCAGGGAAACUUGGGCUAAUACCGGAUAAGCCCUUACGGGGAAAGAUUUAUCGCCGAAAGAUCGGCCCGCGUCUGAUUAGCUAGUUGGUAGGGUAAUGGCCUACCAAGGCGACGAUCAGUAGCUGGUCUGAGAGGAUGAUCAGCCACAUUGGGACUGAGACACGGCCCAA
rnacentral:rRNA from 1 species